GGCGGCGCCCGACACAAGGCUGCAGACCACGAGCGGCAGGAUCACCAUGCGCAGCAUCCGCAGCAGCAGCUCCCCGGGGAAGGCCAGAUUCCCUUCGAGGAAAAAAGAGGGAUGCCCAUUCCCCAGACCAAAUAGAAAACCAGGGGUUUUCAUCUCUAACACAUAAUGCCAGAGGAGGUUUAAUGCUUUACUACCAGAGUGUGUGCUCUUGUUCAGCCUAAGAGGCAGCAAAUCCCCAUUUCACAGGCAAAGCUCCUCCUGAGCUCCUCUAAGGGCAGGGGAGCUGAUAUAGCCUGCAAGGAAUACCAGGAAGAGCCUGGGAUAUCAAGAAAAGGCAGUCAAGCUGGACAAGAAGGUAUCUGCAACUCACCUAAAGGACCUGCAGCCCCUUGUCAGCCACCAGCUAAAACCCAAACCAGCUUUGAGUGCUCAGGCUCUGUCCAAGGGAAGAGAAACCUACUGUGAGAAGCACAAAUGCUGAGGUGAAAGAGAAGAAAUCUCCUAAAAUGAUUGUAAAAGCAUCAGUGGGGAGCUUCUGGACUGUGGGACCUCAGCAUUAGCAAAUCUUGCUAACAAGCUGCUUGAGCGUUCAUGUGAGGCACCAGAAGAAUGGGUUACGUGUCUUAUUGAUUUAAUGACAACUAUCGCUGCUAGGAAUUGAUGCUUUCAUUAGAGAAAGCAGGUUAGCAACAGACUUGUGAAUGUUUGGCCAACUCAGGAGAUGGCAGGGUACAAAUGGUUUCCCCUACUGAAAUAAAACUAACAGGCAAGGUGUAAUGUCAUGGGGCUAUAA